rnacentral:lncRNA from 1 species
GGUUGGGGAAAUGGGCUUGUCUCAGACAGUGGCCCUCAUAUAACCUUUGCUUCCAUUUUCAGCGUUCAGUUGGCUCCUGGCCACCCCAAGACUGAACAAGAGAGUCGUGGAAGGCGUUUAUUUACUCUGGAAUCUUUAAUACCCAACUGUCCGCUGCAGUGACUGAAAAACGGAACGUUGGCCCCUUGUUCUCAAAUGUAGCAAAGAUCAAUAGCACAGCAGAUGGGGCCACCCACACCAUGAGGAGACCGCAGCCAAGCUGCCUAAGCUCUGUCCACACCCCUUGGCUGAAGUCUCAGGAGGAUGAACCUGAGGAAGCGGCCUGCGAGACCAAGA